rnacentral:rRNA from 1 species
GAAGAGCUUCGGCUCUGAAUAUCUAUGGCUAGAUAAAGUACAAGUCGUAACAAGGUUUCAGUUGGAGAACCAGCUGAAGGAUCAUUU